rnacentral:misc_RNA from 1 species
GUGAAUCAUCGAAUUUUUGAACGCAAAUUGCACUCUCUUCUGAUAGUAUGCCUGUUUGAGGGUAAUUAAAAAGAAUCUUAAACCAAUUUUUUUUGGUCAAAGGAAAUGAGCUCUCCGCGUUGAUAGCGUUAGCUUGAAAUAAAUGGUCAAGUCUCAUUUUAGUCGAGACGCGAAAUAAUAUUAUAUCGCGAAAUCUUCAUUAUGUGACUAUCAAGUUUUGAUACAUACAAAUCUGCUUUGUAUGCUAUCAAUACAAAUAUGUUGAACAUUACCUUAAAUCAGUUAUGAGUACCCGCU